UGGGGAAUUUUGGACAAUGGGCGAAAGCCUGAUCCAGCAAUGCCGCGUGUGUGAAGAAGGCCUUCGGGUUGUAAAGCACUUUUGUCCGGAAAGAAAUCCUUGGCUCUAAUACAGUCGGGGGAUGACGGUACCGGAAGAAUAAGCACCGGCUAACUACGUGCCAGCAGCCGCGGUAAUACGUAGGGUGCAAGCGUUAAUCGGAAUUACUGGGCGUAAAGCGUGCGCAGGCGGUUUGCUAAGACCGAUGUGAAAUCCCCGGGCUCAACCUGGGAACUGCAUUGGUGACUGGCAGGCUAGAGUAUGGCAGAGGGGGGUAGAAUUCCACGUGUAGCAGUGAAAUGCGUAGAGAUGUGGAGGAAUACCGAUGGCGAAGGCAGCCCCCUGGGCCAAUACUGACGCUCAUGCACGAAAGCGUGGGGAGCAAACAGGAUUAGAUACCCUGGUAGUCCACGCCCUAAACGAUGUCAACUAGUUGUUGGGGAUUCAUUCCUUAGUAACGUAGCUAACGCGUGAAGUUGACCGCCUGGGGAGUACGGUCGCAAGAUUAAAAGCUCAAAGGAAUUGACGGGGUCAUAGCUGUUUCCU
rnacentral:rRNA from 1 species